GCCAUGGUGGUUCAGUGGUAGAAUUCUUGCCUUCCAUGCGGAAGACCUGGGUUUGAUUCCUGGCCAAUGCA
rnacentral:tRNA from 1 species